rnacentral:rRNA from 1 species
UCCGAUGAACCUAAAUAUCCGGUAUGAGAAAGUCAUUAUUAUGAGUAUAUUAUUUUAUAAUGUAUUAAUAGUGUGCAUUUUUUUCAUAAAAAGGACAUUGUAAUCUGUUAAUACAAUUUAUAUAUUCUUUUAUAUAUUAUUUUUAUCAUAAAGAGUCAUGUAUAAGUUUACAUAUAAAUUAAUUAAUUUAUUAAUUAAUUGAUGUAAGAUCGAUGAAUUUCUAGAUAAAUAGUUAACAGUAUUAAAAUAUAUAAUGCUUACAUAAUUUUUUAUGUUUUAUAUAUAAUAUGUACAUGUACGAUAUAUAUGUUUUUGCACAUAGAUUAUAACAAU